AUUGAACGCUGGCGGCAGGCUUAACACAUGCAAGUCGAACGGAGUGGCGGACGGGUGAGUAAUGCUUGGGAAACUAGCUUAUGGAGGGGGAUAACUAUGGGAAACUGUAGCUAAUACCGCGUAUCAUAGGAUGAGCACAAUUGGGAUUAGGUCGUUGGUGAGGUAAUGGCUAACCAAGCCGACGAUCUCUAGCUGGUCGUAGAGGAUGAUCAGCCACACUGGAACUGAGACACGGUCCAGACUCCUACGGGAGGCAGCAGUGGGGAAUAUUGGACAAUGGGCGAAAGCCUGAUCCAGCCAUGCCGCGUGUGUGAAGAAGGUCUUCGGAUUGUAAAGCACUUUAAGUUGGGAGGCGUUACCAACAGAAGAAGCACCGGCUAACUUCGUGCCAGCCGCCGCGGUAAUAC
rnacentral:rRNA from 1 species